rnacentral:rRNA from 1 species
GUCCGUGAUUAUACAGAUGUGGAAACGCCUUGUUCCAUCCCGAACCAAGAAGCUAAGCACAUCG